rnacentral:rRNA from 1 species
UACGGAGGGUGCGAGCGUUGUCCGGAAUCAUUGGGCGUAAAGGGCGCGUAGGUGGCCCCUCAAGCGUGCGGUGAAAGUCAGGGGCUCAACCCCUGAUCGGCCGUGCGAACUGGGGAGCUUGAGCACUGUAGAGGCAGGCGGAAUUCCGGGUGUAGCGGUGGAAUGCGUAGAGAUCCGGAAGAACACCGGUGGCGAAGGCGGCCUGCUGGGCAGUUUUGCUGACACUGAGGCGCGACAGCGUGAGGAGCAAACAGG